rnacentral:tRNA from 1 species
GCCGAGGUGGUGGAAUUGGCAGACACAACGGACUUAAAAUCCGUUGGGCGAAAGCCCAUGCGGGUUCGAGUCCCGCUCUCGGCACCA